CUUCCGUAGGUGAACCUGCGGAGGGAUCAUUACACAAAUAUGAAGGCGGGCUGGAAUCUCUCGGGGUUACAGCCUUGCUGAAUUAUUCACCCUUGUCUUUUGCGUACUUCUUGUUUCCUUGGUGGGUUCGCCCACCACUAGGACAAACAUAAACCUUUUGUAAUUGCAAUCAGCGUCAGUAACAAAUUAAUAAUUACAACUUUCAACAACGGAUCUCUUGGUUCUGGCAUCGAUGAAGAACGCAGCGAAAUGCGAUAAGUAGUGUGAAUUGCAGAAUUCAGUGAAUCAUCGAAUCUUUGAACGCACAUUGCGCCCUUUGGUAUUCCAAAGGGCAUGCCUGUUCGAGCGUCAUUUGUACCCUCAAGCUUUGCUUGGUGUUGGGCGUCUUGUCUCUAGCUUUGCUGGAGACUCGCCUUAAAGUAAUUGGCAGCCGGCCUACUGGUUUCGGAGCGCAGCACAAGUCGCACUCUCUAUCAGCAAAGGUCUAGCAUCCAUUAAGCCUUUUUUCAACUUUUGACCUCGGAUCAGGUAGGGUUACCCGCUGAAUUUCCAAGCAUAUCAAUAAG
rnacentral:rRNA from 1 species